rnacentral:rRNA from 1 species
CCUACGGGAGGCAGCAGUGAGGAAUAUUGGACAAUGGGCGCAAGCCUGAUCCAGCCAUGCCGCGUGCAGGAAGAAGCAUCUAUGGUGUGUAAACUGCUUUUGUACAGGAAGAAACACUCCCUCGUGAGGGAGCUUGACGGUACUGUAAGAAUAAGGACCGGCUAACUCCGUGCCAGCAGCCGCGGUAAUACGGAGGGUCCGAGCGUUAUCCGGAAUCAUUGGGUUUAAAGGGUCCGUAGGCGGUUUAAUAAGUCAGUGGUGAAAUCUGGUCGCUCAACGAUCAAACGGCCAUUGAUACUGUUAGACUUGAAUUAUAAGGAAGUAACUAGAAUAUGUAGUGUAGCGGUGAAAUGCUUAGAUAUUACAUGGAAUACCAAUUGCGAAGGCAGGUUACUACUUAUGGAUUGACGCUGAUGGACGAAAGCGUGGGGAGCGAGCAGGAUUAGAUACCCUGGUAGUCCACGCCGUAAACGAUGGAUACUAGCUGUUCGGAGCAAUCUGAGUGGCUAAGCGAAAGUGAUAAGUAUCCACCUGGGGAAGUACGUUCGCAAGAAUUGAAACUUAAUUGAUUGACGG